rnacentral:rRNA from 1 species
UAAUUCUCUAGUGGCGCACGGGUGAGUAACACGUGAGUAACCUGCCCCCGAGAGCGGGAUAGCCCUGGGAAACUGGGAUUAAUACCGCAUAGUAUCGAAAGAUUAAAGCAGCAAUGCGCUUGGGGAUGGGCUCGCGGCCUAUUAGUUAGUUGGUGAGGUAACGGCUCACCAAGGCGAUGACGGGUAGCCGGUAUGAGAGGAUGUCCGGCCACACUGGAACUGAGACACGGUCCAGACACCUACGGGAGGCAGCAG